rnacentral:rRNA from 1 species
UAUAGAGGGGGCAAGCGUUAUUCGGAAUUAUUGGGCGUAAAGGGCGCGUAGGCGGCCUGCUAAGUCGAACGUGAAAUCCCCGGGCUCAACCCGGGAACUGCGUCCGAUACUGGAAGGCUUGAAUCCGGGAGAGGGAUGCGGAAUUCCAGGUGUAGCGGUGAAAUGCGUAGAUAUCUGGAGGAACACCGGUGGCGAAGGCGGCAUCCUGGACCGGCAUUGACGCUGAGGCGCGAAAGCCAGGGGAGCAAACGGG